GACGAAGGGGGCUAGCGUUGUUCGGAAUUACUGGGCGUAAAGCGAGUGUAGGUGGUUGUCCAAGUUGGAUGUGAAAGCCUUGAGCUUAACUCAAGAAAAUGCAUUCAGGACUGGGCGACUAGAGGACCGGAGAGGAUAGUGGAAUUCCCAGUGUAGUGGUGAAAUACGUAGAGAUUGGGAAGAACACCAGUGGCGAAGGCGGCUAUCUGGACGGUUUCUGACGCUGAGACGCGAAAGCGUGGGGAGCGAACAGG
rnacentral:rRNA from 1 species